ensembl:snoRNA small nucleolar RNA, C/D box 111B
UGGCCUGAGGUGAUGAUAAGAAUUCAUGUCUCUUCUCUGAGACUAACCAUGGAGAAAAUACUGUGCCUUUCUGAUCAGGCCC